rfam:Medicago truncatula strain A17 chromosome 4, whole genome shotgun sequence.
AAACAGCCCCCUAUGUUUUGAUUCUUUGGCAGUUUUGGACCCCCAAGGCAAAAAUAUUUUUUUUUGACACGUGGCACCUCACUUAGGGUGCCACGUCAGCAUUGACCGAGUCAACAAUGGACUGGGGGUCCAAAAAUGCCAAAGAAUCAAAACAUAGGGGGCUAUUU